AAUGAACGUUGGCGGCGUGGAUUAGGCAUGCAAGUCGAGCGAGAAGUUUAAGAAAGAUACUUCGGUUGAUUUCUUAAAUGGACAGCGGCGAAAGGGAGAGUAACGAGUAGAUACGUACCCAGGGGUUCGGAAUAGCUGCGGGAAACUGCAGGUAAUGCCGAAUAAUGUCUCCGGACCAAAGAUUUAUUGCCCUUGGAUCGGUCUGCUUACUAUUAGCUUGUUGGUGGGGUAAAGGCCUACCAAGGCAAAGAUGGUUAGCGGGUGUGAGAGCAUGGCCCGUCUCACUGGGACUGAGACACUGCCCAGACACCUACGGGUGGCUGCAGUCGAGAAUCUUCCGCAAUGGACGAAAGUCUGACGGAGCGACGCCGCGUGCGGGAUGAAGGCCUUCGGGUUGUAAACCGCUGUCAGAGGGGAGCAAAUUUUGAGCGAUCCUCAGAGGAAGCACAGGCUAAGUUCGUGCCAGCAGCCGCGUAAAC
rnacentral:rRNA from 1 species